AUGCUGCAGCCAGGAGUCCCUGCGGAAGAAGCUGUGUUUGGAACCGUGGGAUGUGCCUUACACACAUUGAUACAAGGUUUGGAAUGCAGCAGUCCUCUCUGGCUGUGUCUUCCAGCAGGAAGAGAAGGAAUGUCCCCAGUGAGAAGGAAUGAGGUUCCCAAGACACAGCACAAUGUGACCCACAAGGCAGAGAAAAAUCUGAACACAAAUGCAGGGUAGAAAUAGUGGCAGUGUGUGCAUACUGCUGUUUGGAAGAGGGCACUGAUAUGCAGCCUGGGAAUGGCAGCAGUAGCUAGGACAUCACAUCUGCUGCCUGAAGCGUUCAAAGUAAAGUGGUUGUACUCUUUUUCUUUUAAUUAACCAUGCUUAUGAUUUGCUGAAAAACUCAGUAAGUGAUGUAUAGGAAUGAGGUGAUACUUGAACUGUCUGCUUGGCUGCACAGUGUCUUUGUUUAAUAAAGAUUAAUUUAUCCUACA
rnacentral:lncRNA from 1 species